GAUGAACGCUGGCGGCGUGCCUAAUACAUGCAAGUCGAGCGAACAGAUGAGGAGCUUGCUCCUCUGACGUUAGCGGCGGACGGGUGAGUAACACGUGGAUAACCUACCUAUAAGACUGGGAUAACUUCGGGAAACCGGAGCUAAUACCGGAUAAUAUAUUGAACCGCAUGGUUCAAUAGUGAAAGACGGUUUUGCUGUCACUUAUAGAUGGAUCCGCGCCGCAUUAGCUAGUUGGUAAGGUAACGGCUUACCAAGGCAACGAUGCGUAGCCGACCUGAGGGGGUGAUCGGCCACACUGGAACUGAGACACGGUCCAGACUCCUACGGGAGGCAGCAGUAGGGAAUCGUCCGCAAUGGGCGAAAGCCUGACGGAGCAACGCCGCGUGAGUGAUGAAGGUCUUCGGAUCGUAAAACUCUGUUAUUAGGGAAGAACAAAUGUGUAAGUAACUAUGCACGUCUUGACGGUACCUAAUCAGAAAGCCACGGCUAACUACGUG
rnacentral:rRNA from 1 species